rnacentral:rRNA from 1 species
CCUACGGGUGGCAGCAGUGAGGGAUAUUGGACAAUGGGGGAAACCCUGAUCCAGCAACGCCGCGUGAGGGAAGACGGUUUUCGGAAUGUAAACUUCUGUCCUCUGUGAAGAUAAUGACGGUAGCAGAGGAGGAAGCUCCGGCUAACUACGUGCCAGCAGCCGCGGUAAUACGUAGGGAGCAAGCGUUGUCCGGAUUUACUGGGUGUAAAGGGUGCGUAGGCGGCCCUGCAAGUCAGAUGUGAAAACCAUGGGCUUAACCCGGGAACUGCGUUUGAAACUGUAGGGCUAGAGUGAAGUAGAGGCAAGUGGAAUUCCCGGUGUAGCGGUGAAAUGCGUAGAGAUCAGGAGGAACACCAGUGGCGAAGGCGGCCUGCUGGGCGUUGACUGACGUUGAAGCACGAAAGCGUGGGGAGCAAACAGGAUUAGAUACCCUUGUAGUC